rnacentral:rRNA from 1 species
ACACUCCUACGGGAGGCAGCAGUGGGGAAUUUUGGACAAUGGGCGAAAGCCUGAUCCAGCAAUGCCGCGUGAGUGAAGAAGGCCUUCGGGUUGUAAAGCUCUUUUGUCAGGGAAGAAACGGUGAGAGCUAAUAUCUUUUGCUAAUGACGGUACCUGAAGAAUAAGCACCGGCUAACUACGUGCCAGCAGCCGCGGUAAUACGUAGGGUGCAAGCGUUAAUCGGAAUUACUGGGCGUAAAGCGUGCGCAGGCGGUUUUGUAAGUCUGAUGUGAAAUCCCCGGGCUCAACCUGGGAAUUGCAUUGGAGACUGCGAGGCUAGAAUCUGGCAGAGGGGGGUAGAAUUCCACGUGUAGCAGUGAAAUGCGUAGAUAUGUGGAGGAACACCGAUGGCGAAGGCAGCCCCCUGGGUCAAGAUUGACGCUCAUGCACGAAAGCGUGGGGAGCAAACAGGAUUAGAUACCCCUGUAGUCCU